rnacentral:rRNA from 1 species
UAGGGGAAUCUUCGGCAAUGGACGAAAGUCUGACCGAGCAACGCCGCGUGAGUGAAGAAGGUUUUCGGAUCGUAAAACUCUGUUGUUAGAGAAGAACAAGGGUGAGAGUAACUGUUCACCCCUUGACGGUAUCUAACCAGAAAGCCACGGCUAACCACGUACCAG